rnacentral:lncRNA from 1 species
CCAUGCACUUCGGUUUACUUGAUUCUCUCCCCUUUUUCUAUUAUAAAAUUUUGACCCCUGCAUGCUUAUUUGUUCUGACCUAGAAUAGCAUCACAAAAUUAUAAUCUGUCUGCAUCAAGGGUGGAGCUACCUUGAAUCCGAACCAUAAUCUCCGCUAAGAAAAUCAUUCAUACAUAAAAAGUUAAGUCGAUUGGCAUCAUUAGUCACAUAAUAGGAUUAUUUAUAUCGGGAGAGCAAAUACCAAUCUCCAAUAAACCUAUUUUUUGUACGGAUAUUCUUGUCAAUGUGCUUUACAAAUUGAACGAUUCUUCGGAUCACUUAUGCAGGUCUAGAGUAUGCCCAUAUCUAAGGAUGGAUCUAGGGUCGGCUAGGGCUCCCGCGAUCCCAAAAUUUUCGAAGAAUCUAAGUUUUAUAGCAGUAAUAGUUACUAAAAAUUGUAAGAGCUUGUUUGAUAUGGCUGAAUUUAUGUUAAAUUACUUAUUUAAAAUCACUAGUUGAAAAAAUAGAGCUUACAAGUCCGAUCUUUUCAGCUUCUAUAUGUUGUUUUUGACCGCAGAAGAAAAAACACAAAGUUCAAGAUAGAAAAAAACAAAAAUUGUUGUUUAUAAACUGUGCCAAACAUACACUAAGGCACCAUUUGGUAAUACUUAAAAGAUAAGCUUUUUUUAAGAUUGCUACUAAAAAAAUUAAGAUUUUUUUGAUUUUUUUGCUUUUUUUGCUUUACUUUAGCUAAAAAUAAAUCAAAAAUCAAAAAAAAACAAACUAUGAAUGGCUUUUUACUUAUAAGCUUAAAAAAAGUCAUCCGAAAAACUAGUAGCAAACUCUAAAUUACAUGGUUUCACUACCCAAAUUAAAAUUAGUGUUCUAUUUUAUGUUAAAGUCACAAAUUCGGUUGUAUUCUGUGUGUAAAUUUGCUUCCCAAGGUCAAAUUCUGCGUCCUUGCCCGUAUCCCGCCAACAUUACCCUAAAAAGUUGUGAAUGAAUUCAGAGAAAUCUCACGACACUCCACACACUAGAGAGAAGGGGGAGGGGGGAUUUGACUGACUUAAUUAUAAGCGUCGUUGCCGGAGUUGCAAGCUAUCGCCGUCGCCGGAGUCUAACAGCCAUGGGAGUCGACCGGCCACUGGAGUCGCCAAAAUCGUGAAUCAACAACCUGGCAUUGCCUUCCUCUCUAUUGUGGUGCAGUCGUGUUGAUGAUGCUGGCUGAUUAUGCUGAGUCGGCAGUCGCUGACAGAAAAAUUUAGGUAAAUAAUUAACCCUAUAAAUAUAACUAUUAGUAUAUAAUUACGCUUUAAAAAUAUUAAAAACUUUUAAGAGUGUCGGGUGUUGCAUAUUUAUUUUACCAUUUUUAUUGACUAUCUAACGUGGCGUAUCUAAUAAUCACUUAUAUAAUAGGUUAUAUUAAUAAAUCAAUUGCAUUUAAUGGUUAUGAGAUAUACUAUAUCAAACGAUAAAUUAUUAUGUUAUUUUUGUAGUUCUAAAGAAAAAUUUUGUGAGGAAUUGAGAUUGGUUGCGGUAGUCAACGGGUGAACAUGAUAGUUGGUUUACGUUAGGAAUUGCAUAUUCAUAACACACGAUAAAAGUUUUAUGUUAGGUGUUAACAAGUUGUAUUUAUAUUUUGCCAACAGUUAGCGGAUGAGUGAUGGAUGAGGAAAGUUGGGUGGAUGAUAAUUAGUUGUCAAUAACUUAUUGAUUAUUUAACUAAUUAGUGUUUAGCUAGUGUAAUGAAAUUUGUAUGCAUUCAUUAGCUAGAGCAUAAAAUAACAUAAAAACCAAUUCAUUCUUUGGAUUUUCUUUUUCCUAUUCCUUUUUCCUUGUCCAAACAACUUGGAAGACUCCAAAAGAACGAAUGCGUUUCCCUUUCUUCAUCCUUUCCUCCCUAUUAAAUUUUGGCUUCCUCUUUAUCAUCUAGACAGGGUGGUUUAUGGAUUAGCAUCAUCAGAGUGAAGCAAGAUAUUUAAAAAGGGACCCAAAGUUGAAGAUUUUGCAACCAUACCAACAAUCUUAGUUGUUUGGUCACUCUGCAAUAAUAAAACCAAGUCAUCCGGCGCGCAUCAAUAAAAUUUCAUCAACAUUCUAGAAUUUCAAAGGUUUUAUUAUGAUCAAAAAAAUUUCAACACGAUUUAUGAGCUAGUUUUACGCUUAGUUAACUAAAAUGAAGUAUAAUCCAAUCCAAUGUUUUGAAACCCGGAUCGAACUGGCCGAAGAAACGAUUCGGUCAACCCCUUUAAUCCGGUGAACACAUCAAACCGGACUGAACCGUCACGACCCGCGAUUCAACCGCAAACCCAUCGAAUCGGAGCGGGUUGACGACCCGAAACGGGUGGAUUCGAUGCCGGUGGUGGUGGAUUCGAUGCCUUCGGUGCUGGUGGUGGUGGAUUCGAUGCCGAUGGUGGUGGAAUCGGGAGAGGAAGAGGAGUGAGAGAGGGGCGGAGUGGUCCAUGGUGGUGGUGGAUUCGGUGGCGGUGGUGCCUCACCGACGGCUGGAUUGAGAGAGAGAGGCAUGAUUAAGAUGAGUGAGACCCAUCUCUGAGACUGAGACUCUGAGAUAGAGAGAGGCGUGAAUAUUGAUUUGGUUGAGUAACUGGGUCUAUGAGUGUGAGACAGUACGAGUUGAUUUGGGAUUUUGGGCAUAGUUAUCAGAAUCGGACCGAAUUGGCCGGUUCAACUAGGAACCGGGCACUGAACCGAUUUGGUAACUAUUUAUCGGAAAUGCAAGUGAAUCGUAUUGAAACGGUUGAACUGGCCGAUUUGUUAUCAAACCAGCCAAUUUUUUAAUUGGUUGAACCGGUCGAUUUUUUAACAGAUAAAUUAUAAUUUUAAUUUUUGCAAUUUAGCCCCAAAUUUUGAAUUGAAUUUUUUUUUUUAAUUUUUUUAUAUUUUUUGACUAUGAUUAAUUUUUCACUAUUAUAUUAUUCACGAUUGAUAGAUAAUUUAAAACCAUUGGCCAAUUUUUUUCUAAAGUAUUUAAAAAUUAUUAUACUGAGUUGCAAUUAGUAUUUCCAGUAAUAAUUUUGAUAUUUUUAAAAUAUAUUUUUUCAUAAUUAACUUUCAAACACCUACAUAGUAAUUGAAGGGGUAAAAAAAAAAAUUUAUUAUUUAUAAUAAAAUAUAUUUUUAUUAUUUAUUAAUUAUAAUACUGGUUGAACCAGUGAACCGUUGAAUCGGUACCUUAACCGGUUCAAUAUCCGGUCCGAUUCUGAUAACUAUGAUUUUGGGGUUUUAAAUCCAAAUCACACUUUAGCCCUCACAAUUUCAAGUGAAACACACUUGACUCAUAAGUUUAAAUUAUUGCAAUUAAAUCCCAAAUUAUAAUUAUUUUUAUUUAUUAUAUAUUAUAAAUAAUUUAUGACAUCACGAUUCGAUAGCGGUUCACUAACGGUUGAUCCGGUCACCCGUGACCCGGUCAUUUUUUCGGUUUGCUCAUCGGUCCGGAUUUCAAAACAUUGAUCCAAUCAACUCAACACUUUUAUUAGAAGGGAAAAAUGAUCAAAAUAUCCCGCCUUAGAUGGAACCAUAAAUAAAUUAUUCAGACCACCGAGGUCUCAAUAUAUAUGCCUCAGCAAAAUGAGUAACAACGCUACCAACAGCAUAUACUAAUACAAGCUUACAGAGAUUUUGGGAAUAGAAAAUUGGAAUUUGGAGGUACACAAACACGCCACCAGAAAACAAUGCAACGGCCAAAAACCACUAUAUAGCCUGAUCCUGAGGACUUCGACAGCAGGAGAUGAUAGAUACAAAAUAUUCCAACCCAUCAUGCGGCAGCUUGGCCAAAGAGCCUCUUGCGGAUCUGCAACAAGAAGAAAGCUAAUAUAGUUAAACCAUGCUCCUGGAUAGCAUGAAUAAUUAGCAACCUGAAACUUUAGGAUAGGUCAAGUUUUAAGGCAUAAUAAUUUUCUACAUGACGACUAUAUUGGAUGAUCUAAUGGUCCCUCUUUUCGCUUUCUGUUUGCCCGGCGGGGGCGGCUCAUACUUCUGUCCAGUACAGAUGUACAAGUUUCUAUGUUGUAGGCUUGAGAGAUGAUACCUCUUUUCCCCCUAUUUUACACAAAAAGGCAAGUAUGGAGGAUAUAGGUCGUUUGUCCAAUAGUGAUCACAAGUGGUGGUACCAAUCAGGAGGCGGAAAGCAAAUGGAGG